CGCCACGCGCCUGGGACGGGCGGGACUAUAGCGCAGAACUGGCGGGGGAAGGUUCACGAACAGCCCCCCCCCGCGAAUUGCCGAGUCCGCCCACAGCCGCGCAUGCUCCCCAGCCCCGCCUCCAGGCUCUUCGCAGGAAGUUUGGCCUUUCCGCAGCCCGUAGGCGCAGCGGAGCUUCCUUAGCAACCGGCGGGACGGGAGGUGUCGCUGUGACCGAGGAGCUGCGGAACCCCGGCGUCUAGCGGACCUGGAAUUUAUGAUAAAAGAAUGUCAUCAGGUUUCCAGAUAAAACCAAAGACUGCAAUACAGAAAAGCAAGACAUCUUCAUCUAGUUCUCCAGAUCUUGCGGUUAAGCCACAACCAAGGCCCAGUGAUAAACUUAACCCCAAAACUAUUGAUCCGUUUGGGGAUCAUUCAAAAGCUCCUUCUGCAUUUUCUGCCAUUUACUCUAAAGGUGGUAUACCUUGCAGGUUGGUUCAUGGCUCAGUAAAACACAAAUUACAGUGGGAGUGUCUUCCUGAAACUCUUCCAUUUGAUCCUCUUCUUAUUACUUUAGCUGAGGGACUAAGAGAGACAAAACACCCAUAUACAUUUGUAUCAAAGGAGGGCUUUAAGGAAUUACUCUUGGUUGAAGAUGCUACUGAAAAAGCAAUUCCCUUGUUGCCUCGACUAGUUCCAGUGUUAAAGGCUACUCUGGCCCAUUCAAACAGUGAAGUAUUUGAAAGAGGAUUGAAUGCUUUGGUACAGCUGAGUGCCAUUGUUGGCCCUGCUCUUAAUGAUCAGCUGAAACAUCUACUCACAAGCAUUUCAAAGAGGUUAAUGGACAAGAAAUUCAAAGAGCAAAUCACUGUUGCGUUACAAAAGCUAGAGCAGUAUGGUGGAAAGGAGAGUGUAACUAUCAUCAAAUCUAAAAUUCCAACCUAUUGUUCUAUCUCCUUUUGAAUGAGAGAACCAUAUAGUCAUUUACACUGCAUGGUGUGACUGUGGGCGUCAGAAGCUGACUGUGGAUGCUGUUGGAAUUUCCUUAUGGUACAACUUAUUCUAGUAAAACUAACCACAAACAUUCUGUAAUCUGGCUUGGGAGAAAAAUUGAAGAUUAAGUGAAGUGUCCUCAUAACAUCUUGUGAAAAAGUGUAAUUAUGGUAAACAGUUAUAUCAUUUUUAUUAUAUAAAUCUUUUUGUGUAUCCAGUCUUAUGUUUACAGUUGCAGUCAAUAAUUGAUUAUCUACCAUCCAUUUUUUCAGCUGUAAACAAAGUAAAUGUUAAGUUAUUUUUGCUGUACAUUCCUAUUUCCUUUAAUAAUUCUGCCACACUUACUGUGUUUAUCAAAUGUUACAUAAAAGGUAGAAUUUGAUUGUAAUUAUUAAUUAAGCAGUAACUAACUCACUGCUAAAGUGCAUAUACAUCUUUAUUUUAUAUAGGUAAAACUUGCAAUGAUCUCUUUCCAUGAUGAGUGUUGGAGAUGAAAAUUAAACAGACCAUUGAAACAGAUAUUAGACUGUCUAGAUAUUACUGCAUUCUGAGUACUGAAGUGAGAUGGAAGCUUCAAAAGACCAUUAUCUCCUUUUUCCUCAUUAAAACUGGAAUUUCCCAUGGAAUACCUAGAGGUUCAAGUAAAAAAAACCUGACAAAGUCCAUACCAUCUUUUAUAUUUCCUGUGCAGCUUUCAGGAUACAAGGUGUUUAUAAAUUGUUGCUCAUGGAUAGACAUGCUUUUCCUAGUCUUGCUUACCCAUACCUGUAUUGCAAAUUCUUGUCGUCUGGCCCCUUUUUCAUAUAUACUAAAAGGGCAAAACAUCGACUCUUAUUGUUGAUUUUCCUAAUCUCCUUUCCCCUAUCCAAGACAAUCCAAAUAGAUCUCGUAUAUCAAUUGAAAUCUACUGUAUUUUACUGCAUUUAUUGUUAGACAGAAUUGAUGGUUUUAGUUUGAGAAAAGAACUGUCAAUGGCUAUAACAAUCUGCAUGAUCUAAUCAGUUGUUGCCCUUUUCCAAGUUUGGAUCUCAACACUUGAUCUAAUGUAGUAUGACACCCUCUGUAUGUACCAUGCUUCUCUAGUAGCUUGUAACCUUGUACAAUGUACAAAUAACAAGAAGCUUUGGUAUUUAACUUUUUCAUAAUAAAAUUGCAGAACUUAUUUUUA